AUACGGAGGAUCCGAGCGUUAUCCGGAUUUAUUGGGUUUAAAGGGAGCGUAGGUGGAUUGUUAAGUCAGUUGUGAAAGUUUGCGGCUCAACCGUAAAAUUGCAGUUGAAACUGGCAGUCUUGAGUACAGUAGAGGUGGGCGGAAUUCGUGGUGUAGCGGUGAAAUGCUUAGAUAUCACGAAGAACUCCGAUUGCGAAGGCAGCUCACUAGACUGUUACUGACACUGAUGCUCGAAAGUGUGGGUAUCAAACAGGAUUAGAUACCCUGGUAGUCCACACAGUAAACGAUGAAUACUCGCUGUUUGCGAUACACUGUAAGCGGCCAAGCGAAAGCGUUAAGUAUUCCACCUGGGGAGUACGCCGGCAACGGUGAAACUCAAAGGAAUUGACGG
rnacentral:rRNA from 1 species